CAGCCGCCGCGGUAAUACGGAGGGUGCAAGCGUUAUCCGGAUUUAUUGGGUUUAAAGGGUCCGUAGGCGGAUCUGUAAGUCAGUGGUGAAAUCUUACAGCUUAACUGUGAAACUGCCAUUGAUACUGCAGGUCUUGAGUAAAUUUGAAGUGGCUGGAAUAAGUAGUGUAGCGGUGAAAUGCAUAGAUAUUACUUAGAACACCAAUUGCGAAGGCAGGUCACUAAGAUUUAACUGACGCUGAUGGACGAAAGCGUGGGGAGCGAACAGGAUUAGAUACCCCCGUAGUCCCUGUCUCUUAUAC
rnacentral:rRNA from 1 species